ACAAGAAGAACAAGUACCAAAAUUCAACCCAGAAAACGUGGCUUACGAACACCACGCCCUCCUUCCCACUAAAUCUUGGUUUGGUCUUAUAUAUAUCAGUCACCAUCUUUCCUCAUAUCUUCGAUGGUGGUGUGCGCUCUUCCCUUUUUCUCAAGACAGUUACACAUACACGCUUUUCUUUAAAACACUUAAAAAAGACAGAGGACCUGUCUGUGAUCUCAUUAGUGGUGGUGGUGGCUCUCUUUGCCUCCUUUUGCUUAUCUUUGCUUUUCCAUGUGCUUAGUUGGUUAUUCUUCACUAGCCACCUUUCUCUCUUCCUUUCCUUUUUUCUAUUAACCUCUCAGACUUGUUCUCUGUAUUAAACUUUGGGUUAAGGAAGAUAAGGCUCAAACUUUCAGGGUGGUAAUUGUUUUGCAAAUCAGCUCAUCCUAGAUUGUGGGUGUUGGGGUGUUUGUGUUUUUGUGCUCUUCUUGGAUCCAAUUUUCUGAGGUGUACUGUAAGAUAAGACUUGGACCAAGAAGUCUAUAUGAUUCAGUUUGAGGAAGAACAAGAAGUCUAUAUGAUUCAGUUUGAGGCAGAAUAAGAAGUCUAUAAGAUUCAGUUUGAGGCAGAAUAGGAUAAAGAAGUUUAUGUGUGUAAUCUGAUUGGGCCAGCCGAUGGAUGAUCAAGUUAUAAUUCCUCAGAAAGAUCGCCGGGGAAAAGAGGAUACAUCUCAUAGAUUGAGCAAGGAGAGAGUAUUAUCAAGAGAAGGUACUUUAAAAUCCUCCGGCUCAAAAUUGAAGAGGUUGGUCAAAAUGGCAAAUCCACAGCACCCUAUAAUUCCAAAUGUUAAUAGUUCACAAAUUAGUAGAUGUUGCGCAAAAAGUCCAUUGUUUCAAAGUACUGUUGGCGUUGAGAGUAGGAUUCCAAAGCAUAUACUGAGCGUAGAUGAAAAAUUUCGCCGUCGAUGCUUGGAAUUGAUUCAUAUUAGUGCAUCCAAAGCAGCUCAAUGCAAUGUAGCUGUGAAUUUGAGCUCUGCGAAGAUGGGUGUUUUAGCUGAAAGCCUUAGUGCGGGUGAUUUUAGAAGUGGAGAUACAUGUGACUCUGCGAGGUUUGUUUAUGAAUGCCCAUUGGAAGCUGGAGGUGGGAGUGUUGUCAUAAGCCCUGCAGGACAGUGGAUUGUAGGUACAGUUAUGGGGAGCAAGAGCAUGAUAAAUAUUUUGAAGAGCCCUUUGUUUCACCAAGUUGGCCCCGAAGGUGGCAAUGCAGAUUCUGGAAGAAUAACUUCAAAUGAUGACAAAGCCUCGAUAUGCCAUGAUUUAGCAGAGUGUCCUGGUGCAUUAACUUUCUCUUCACCGACGACAGAAAAAGAAAUUCCAGUUAAGGGAAGCAUUAAAAAUGAAUCUGAUGGGGGUCACAAAAGGCUUGUUUCUACGUGUAGCAUAGACUCUCCAUCUUCUGAUCAAUCUUCCCGUGCGGCUCUCGCCUCCGUUUCCCAAGGAAUGCUCCAGUGCACGUGGAAGGGAGGGAAUCCUCAUUUUGUUUUCUCUACAGAUGAACAGAAGGAGGUCUAUGUAGCCAAUUUGUGGAAGGUUCAGUCUAAAGAGGACAAGUCUCUGGAUUAUAUAUACCUGUUCCAUGCAGGAAAGGGUGGCCAAAAGAACCAUGAGAUUCGCGAUAGUGAGUCACACCUAGUCGGUAAGAUGAAGGUGAGGAAUUUGGUCUCUCUCUGCUCAAACAAUUCAAAGAUCAUGGAGACUGAGUUUGUUUUGUAUGGUGAUGGUAUUGAGAUGCACACUUCUAGCCAUAACCUCAAGAAGAGUAAGGGGUUAUCGAAAAAGAUGGUGGGAGUGUUCAGGACAAGUCACUUAUCCAAACAAAAAACCAUCUCCAAAUUGAGUGGAGCUCUUGAGAAUUCUUCUUGGGAGUCAUGCCUAGAUGAUACAGCCAGCAAUCAAGAUGCUCUAGGUCUGCCGAAUUUGUUAGAAGAUAACCUCCCUCCAAAUUUUGAAUUAGCUGCAAUUGUUAUGAAAGACCAUCUCCCUGAUGAUCGUAAGGAGGAAACUGGAGGUUGGGGUUUGAAAUUUCUGAAGAAAGUUGGGGUGAAGAAAACCAAUAACUCUGUGGAAGUGUCAGUGCCUCUCGAAUGUUGUCGAAAUAAUGGUGAUUGCUCUACAAGUAUGGAUGUUCUAAUCCCCACAGGUCUUCAUGGUGGACCAAGAACCAGAAAUGGUGGCCCUUCAAGUCUUACUGAAAGAUGGAGAUCUGGUGGAUACUGUGACUGUGGUGGCUGGGACAUGGGGUGCCCUCUCACAGUACUUAAAAGCAAAUCAAGGAAAGAGGACAUUUUGCCUCAGUCAGAUACUCAAGGGGAGUGCAAGCCGUUUGAUUUAAAUUUACAGGGCUCUGAGCAUGCCACUCCCACAUUAAGGAUGCUGAAUGUCCAUGAUGGUCUGUAUUUUGUUCAUUUUCAACCUACUCUGUCAAUUCUGCAAUCUUUCUCAAUUGCAGUAGCGAUUAUCCAUACACAGACUCCUUCUCUCCGGCCGAAAUGUACAGAAGUUUCAACCAAAGUCCAGGGGUGAAAUGUUUGCAGCCUCUCACAUGCUUGCUCUGUACACAGCAUUCUGGUGCUCAGAGAGUAAGUUCUGCUGCAAUAGCAAUAGAAGUAAGUUUCCCUGGAUCUUCUUUUUGCCUUCUUUUCAUCAGGACAUGUUUUGCUGACAGGGAUUAGAGUUGACUUAUUAUGUUGUACAUCAUUAUAUGUAUUAUAUAAUCAAACAUAGUUGUGUAGUUGAAGAUAACUGAGAUGCAAAAAAAGUAUAUAUGUUUUCUUCUACAUAAUCUCAUAAGGUGAGAAACAUAGCCAUGUCAUAACUAUGGAGUGCUUAAUUGUAAAAUUUGGCAUGCGAGUAAAAUUUGGAAUAGAAUUCUACUUCAUAGCGUAGCUAAAAAUAGAAAAUGAACAAGUAAGAUAGCUAGUUUUAUGCUUUUUCAAGUAUCAUCACAUCAUUUAAACAGGAUCUGAACAUUGUGGAACAAUAUGGGAGCUAAAUUGCAGUAAACAUUUCUCCAAUGGGCUGCUAACUUCUAUUCUGUAUGAUUUAGUAUAGGGUUAAUGACAGAUUCAUUUUGUAUAGUUCUAAAUAUAAGCAGGUCAAGAUUCUGGAUUGCUGUAUUUUGUGACAAUUAUCGAUCUUCUUUUAGGCUAGCUUUGCACGUCUGCAUAUUAAUCUUGCAUAUCGGUCUGUGCCUGGCCAUCUUCUGUUAUAAAUUUGUCCUUCUAUGCUCUAGAUUCUGACAAAAUUCAUGCUAUGUGUUAAUACUAGUUAGAAGCUGGCAUGAUAAGUUGUAAAUGAACAUCCUAUUUGGGCUUGUUCUGCAAAGGUAUUCAUAAUUUUUUUUUUUUUGGGUGGGGUGAGUUGUUUUUAAUUGAAGAGGAGAAAGAACAAGGAGAGGAAAGUGAAAAGAGAGAUGAUAGACGAUGUCCCAUGAACACCUUGAACCCACUGUUGCCAAGAUUCAAAAGUGUCAAGGAGACGGCCAGAUAAAUGGCCAGUAGAUAUGCUGAUACUGAUCAACUUCACUUCAGUAAUGUAUGAAUACAUCGUGAGCAGCAUAGGCUGGCCAAUGCAGCUGCUGCCCUGAGGAUUUUGGUGCUAGCCAGCCACUCCCACAAUUGACAUUUUUUUUUUUUUUGAGAAGAAACAGCUUUUUAUUAAAAAAGCAAAAAUCGAGAUACAGGGAGGCGGACAAGGAGUCCGCUUUAAUGAUCUAAAGAGGGCAGCUAGGGCUAUAGGCCUAGCAUCUCGUCUAAUAAUACUAAUCAAGGCUUAGGGGCUUA